rfam:Lactobacillus similis DSM 23365 = JCM 2765 strain DSM 23365 NODE_197, whole genome shotgun sequence.
GCGGGUGUGGCGGAACUGGCAGACGCGCUAGAUUUAGGUUCUAGUGUCUUACGACGUGGGGGUUCGAGUCCCUUCACCCGCA